GUGAUGCUAGAUGGGACCACCCUAGAAGACCGGGGGUGGGGGAGAAGCAGAAAAGAAGGAUACAGGGCUCUCUGCUUCCCCCAUGGACUAAUAAAUAUGGAAACCAGGACAGUGCCAAUUCACCAGGCCAUAUAUUGGAAUUCAUCAUUAUCACUGGACCCUGACUCCAUGAGAUGGACAGAUGUGUUUAGAGGGCAAGCCCAGGAGGCCACCUUCUCUAUGACUCCCAGCUGAGCCCCACGGUGGUGGCUGAAAUCUUGGGACAAGGAAUUCUUAACUUCAGCCUUUCUUACUGCCCAGCUGAGGGAAAACCUUAGGGCAAGGAAUUCCAAUAUAUUCUAGGGAUCAAUUUGCAGCAACAUUACAGAUGGUUCUCAUUUUGACAGUUCCGUCAAAAAAAAAAAUGACUUUUCUUACAUCCCAGAGCUCGUGGGGUAAAAUUCACACGUGCCACAAAUCUAAGGAAAUGUGUCGAAGAGAACAUCUGAGAAGGACUAGAAUUGUAAAAAUCACGAAAACAAAAACCAAGAAAAACAAACUUCGGCCUAACUGGAAGAGGAACCCAAUUCACGGUCUAGAAGAGAAGAGCAAAUAAGAAAGUGUGGACCAAUAGUGACAAAUCAGAACAUGAGUGAUGAAACUUAAGAAAACAA